rnacentral:rRNA from 1 species
CCAAUAGCGUAUAUUAAAGUUGUUGCAGUUAAAAAGCUCGUAGUUGAAUUUCGGGGUCAGUAAGUUGGUCGUGCCUACGGUAUGUACUGGCUUUACUGAUUCCUCCUUCUUGAAGAACUGUAAUGUCAUUAAUUUGGUGUUGCAGGGAAACAGGACUGUUACUUUGAAAAAAUUAGAGUGUUUAAAGCAGGCUAACGCCUGAAUACAUUAGCACGGAAUAAUGAAAUAGGACGUUCGAUCCUAUUUUGUUGGUUUCUAGGAUUGACGUAAUGAUUAAUAGGGAUAGUUGGGGGGAUUAGUAUUCAAUUGUCAGAGGUGAAAUUCUUGGAUUUAUUGAAGACUAACUACUGCGAAAGCAUUUGCCAAGGAUGUUUUCAUUAAUCAAGAACGAAAGUUAGGGGAUCGAAGACGAUCAGAUACCGUCGUAGUCUUAACCAUAAACUAUGCCGACUAGGGAUCGGAUGAUGUUAAUUUUUUAAUGACUCAUUCGGCGCCUUACG